GCCGGAUGCUCCGACUCCUCGCAUGGGGUGUCGGGAAAGAUUUCAUCGGUAUGGGAUGGGGUCGCGUCCUAUCAGGUAGUCGGCGGGGUAACGGCCCACCGAGCCUACGACGGGUAGCCGGCCUGAGAGGGCGACCGGCCACAUUGGGACUGAGAUACGGCCCAGACUCCUACGGGAGGCAGCAGUGGGGAAUAUUGCACAAUGGGCGCAAGCCUGAUGCAGCGACGCCGCGUGCGGGAUGACGGCCUUCGGGUUGUAAACCGCUUUUGAUCGGGAGCAAGCCUUCGGGUGAGUGUACCUUUCGAAUAAGCACCGGCUAACUACGUGCCAGCAGCCGCGGUAAUACGUAGGGUGCAAGCGUUAUCCGGAAUUAUUGGGCGUAAAGGGCUCGUAGGCGGUUCGUCGCGUCCGGUGUGAAAGUCCAUCGCUUAACGGUGGAUCUGCGCCGGGUACGGGCGGGCUGGAGUGCGGUAGGGGAGACUGGAAUUCCCGGUGUAACGGUGGAAUGUGUAGAUAUCGGGA
rnacentral:rRNA from 1 species